UACAUGUGUUAAUGUCUUGUGCAGUACAUUAUUGUAGUUCUUGGAUUAAAAUUAAAGGACAGGAUGCGCAUGACGUAUUUUGACGCACCGACGUACGGCGCACUUGAAAAUUACCGACAUAAUAUAAUACUGUAUAAUAUAUAUGAAUUGUUGGAUCUGGAUCAGAGGCUUAGGGAGGGUAAUAGUCUCUUCUCGUGAUUUCUCAGACGAUGUGCGGAAUACCUGAGAGUACAAGUUAAAGACAAGGAUAUAUAUAAAGUUUGUAUGUUCUUUAUAAGUUUACUGCAGUAUAUAGAUACUGAGUUCACUUAUUAAAAUUGUGUUUUAUAUACAACUGUAGUAUAUGAAUACUAAGUUAUGUUAUAAGCAUACGUUUUAAAACUUGUGACCAGAUAACUGGAUAUAUAUAUUCUAACCUGACAGAUAAUGCUUUUUAAGCCAAUUGUAGUAUAUGAAUACUAAGUUCUUUUAUAAGUACAAGAAUAGUAAUAUAAGUUAAAAAUAUAUAUAUAUAGAUAUAAGUGAUCAGAUAACUGGAUAUAUAUUUUAACUGAAAGUAACCUCAGUCAAUGACCAGAUAACUGAAUGAGGAAUCUACAGGGAAAAUAGUCAACCUCAAUCUAUGACCAGAUGAUUGGAUGAAGAAUCUUUUUUUAGUUUCUUUUUAUCUUAUUAUAACUUUAAAAUAAAGAAGCGAAGAAUAAAAAGAGACACAAAGAUUUUUAUACUGGUUUACCCAAACAAUGGCUAAUCUAGUUUCGAUGAAACACGGAGAUCACUAUCAUGAAGGUAAUGGCGAAACCUCUGCCAAGCUUUAAGGUUAAACGUUUGUGAACCACCUAAAAGUAUUCAGGAACUUUUAAAAACCUCUGUCAAACUUUAAAGCUAAACGCUUGUAAACCCUCUAAAAGUAUUAAGGGACUCUUAAGAACCUCUGUCAAGCUUUAAGGCUAAACGCUUGUGAACCACCUAAGAGUAUUAAGGAACUCUUAAAAAUCUUUGAACCUUUAAGGCAGAUUCGACCUAAGAGUUUUCCUGAAAACUCUAUAGAACUACACCGAGUUUUAUGGUUGAACUCGUUGAACCUUACAAGUGUUGGUAUUGAGACAAACCUCUCACAACACUUGGACCACUUACAAGAUGUAGAUCUUUUCUUCUAUCACACUCUCAAUGUACAAGAGGGGAAGAAGAAGUUGAAGAACUAGAGCACACAAUCUUGAGAGCAACUUUCACGCAAAGCUUGAACGGGAGCUAGAGCUUGAGCAAAAGAGAACGAAAGUAGAGCUUUGAUCCAAGAAGAGCUUUAGCAAAG
rnacentral:lncRNA from 1 species